AUUGAACGCUGGCGGCAGGCCUAACACAUGCAAGUCGAACGAACCCUUCGGGGUUAGUGGCGGACGGGUGAGUAACACGUGGGAACGUGCCUUUAGGUUCGGAAUAACUCAGGGAAACUUGUGCUAAUACCGAAUGUGCCCUUCGGGGGAAAGAUUUAUCGCCUUUAGAGCGGCCCGCGUCUGAUUAGCUAGUUGGUGGGGUAAUGGCUCACCAGGGCUACGAUCAGUAGCUGGUCUGAGAGGAUGACCAGCCACAUUGGGACUGAGACACGGCCCAAACUCCUACGGGAGGUAGCAGUGGGGAAUCUUGCGCAAUGGGCGAAAGCCUGACGCAGCCAUGCCGCGUGGAUGAUGAAGGUCUUAGGAUUGUAAAAUCCUUUCACCGGUGAAGAUAAUGACUGUAGCCGGAGAAGAAGCCCCGGCUAACUUCGUGCCAGCCGCCGCAGUAAGAC
rnacentral:rRNA from 1 species